rnacentral:lncRNA from 1 species
AUGAGAGAUGUGGGGGGGAAGAGGAGAAGAGGGCUGCACCCGUUCAUACCCAGCCUGGGCCCCGUCUUCAAAUCUAACCUAACCGCCACAGUAGUCCAGUCUGGGGAAUGCAAGCGGCUUGGGAAAGUUGGAGAACAGCCACUUGGAGAUGAGAACCCCAGCCUUUGGUUUGGGCUGAGGGAGGGAAGAAGUGUUCUGGGUGGGGUGUCUUGGUUUCAAUGCACAGAAUCACUUGGACCUCUCACUCUUCAACAUGGCAACCUCGGGGUAGACUUACUUCUCUUCCCAUCCAGACAAAAGUUAAGUUUCGCUCUAAGUGGGCCAGCCUUGGGCAAGGGCGUGGGUGUGAAUGAGCAACUCUUCUAA